UACGUAGGGCGCGAGCGUUGUCCGGAAUUACUGGGCGUAAAGCGCACGUAGGCGGCUUUGUAAGUAAGAGGUGAAAGCCUGGAGCUCAACUCCAGAAUUGCCUUUAGACUGCAUCGCUUGAAUCAUGGAGAGGUGAGUGGAAUUCCGAGUGUAGAGGUGAAAUUCGUAGAUAUUCGGAAGAACACCAGUGGCGAAGGACG
rnacentral:rRNA from 1 species